GGACCAAGGAGUCUAGCAUGUGCGCGAGUCAUUGGGACUCUAACUAAACCUAAAGGCACAAUGAAAGUGAAGGUCCGCCGUGCGCGGACCGAGGGAGGAUGGAUGGUCCCGAGGGGCCGUCCCGCACUCCCGGGGCGUCUCGAUCUCWCAUUNGUGAAGAGGCGCACCCAGAGCGUACACGCUGGGACCCGAAAGAUGGUGAACUAUGCCUGGUCAGGACGAAGUCAGGGGAAACCCUGAUGGAGGUCCGUAGYGAUUCUGACGUGCAAAUCGAUCGUCGGAACUGGGUAUAGGGGCGAAAGACUAAUCGAACCAUCUAGUAGCUGGUUCCCUCCGAAGUUUCCCUCAGGAUAGCUGGCGCUCGCUUCUCGCGAGUCUCAUUCGGUAAAACGAAUGAUUAGAGGCAUUGGGGUCGAAACGGCCUCAACCUAUUCUCAAACUUUAAAUGGGUGAGAUCUCCGGCUUGCUUGAACUGUGAAGCCGCGAGAUAUCGGAUCAGAGUGCCAAGUGGGCCACUUUUGGUAAGCAGAACUGGCGCUGUGGGAUGAACCAAACGCCGAGUUAAAGCGCCUAAAUCGACGCUUAUGGGAUACCAUGAAAGGCGUUGGUAACUUAAGACAGC
rnacentral:rRNA from 1 species